UACGAAGGGGGCUAGCGUUGUCCGGAAUCACUGGGCGUAAAGGGCGCGUAGGCGGCCAUUCAAGUCGGAUGUGAAAGCCCAGGGCUCAACCCUGGAAUUGCCUUCGAUACUGUUUGGCUAGAGACCGGAAGAGGUAAGUGGAACUGCGAGUGUAGAGGUGAAAUUCGUAGAUAUUCGCAAGAACACCAGUGGCGAAGGCGGCUUACUGGUCCGGUUCUGACGCUGAGGCGCGAAAGCUAGGGUAGCAAACGGG
rnacentral:rRNA from 1 species